CCUACGUGCGGCAGCAGUGGGGAAUAUUGGACAAUGGGGGAAACCCUGAUCCAGCGACGCCGCGUGAGUGAAGAAGUAUUUCGGUACGUAAAGCUCUAUCAGCAGGAAAGAAAAUGACGGUACCUGACUAAGAAGCCCCGGCUACCUACGUGCCAGCCGCCGCGGUAAUACGUAGGGGGCAAGCGUUAUCCGGAUUUACUGGGUGUCAGGGGAGCGGAGACGGCAGCGCAAGUCUGGAGUGAACUGCCGGGGCCCAACCCCGGAGCUGCUCUGGAAACUGUGAAGCUGGAGUGCAGGAGAGGUAAGCGGACUUCCUGUUGUAGCGGUGACAUGCGUAGAUAUCAGGCGGAACACCGGCGGCGAAUGCGGCUUACUGGACUGUACCUGACGUUGAGGCUCGAAGGCGUGGGGAGCAAACAGGCUUAGAUACCCCUGUAGUC
rnacentral:rRNA from 1 species